rnacentral:rRNA from 1 species
GAAAUGCGAUAAGUAAUGUGAAUUGCAGAAUUCAGUGAAUCAUCGAAUCUUUGAACGCACCUUGCGCUCCUUGGUAUUCCGAGGAGCAUGCCUGUUUGAGUGUCAUGAUAUUAUCAGUCCCUUACUUGCUUGUAUUGGCUGGCUUGGGAUUGGAUUUAUGGAGGUUUGCUGGUUUUUAUAAUCAGCUCUUCUGAAAUGUAUUAGCAAAAACCCUUUUGCUGACCCAUUAUUUUGGUGUGAUACUUAUUUUACACCAUUUGAGAAGGGCAGUAUAGAUGUUUGGCUUCUAAUGGUCUUGGGACAGCUUUUGACAUUUUGACCUCAAAUCAGGUAGGACUACCCGCUGAACUUAA